rnacentral:rRNA from 1 species
UUCUUGGUCAUUUAGAGGAAGUAAAAGUCGUAACAAGGUUUCCGUAGGUGAACCUGCGGAAGGAUCAUUAAAGAAAUUUAAUAAUUUUGAGAAUGGAUUUUUUUGUUUUGGCAAGAGCAUGAGAGCUUUUACUGGGCAAGAAGACAAGAGAUGGAGAGUCCAGCCGGGCCUGCGCUUAAGUGCGCGGUCUUGCUAGGCUUGUAAGUUUCUUUCUUGCUAUUCCAAACGGUGAGAGAUUUCUGUGCUUUUGUUAUAGGACAAUUAAAACCGUUUCAAUACAACACACUGUGGAGUUUUCAUAUCUUUGCAACUUUUUCUUUGGGCAUUCGAGCAAUCGGGGCCCAGAGGUAACAAACACAAACAAUUUUAUCUAUUCAUUAAAUUUUUGUCAAAAACAAGAAUUUUCGUAACUGGAAAUUUUAAAAUAUUAAAAACUUUCAACAACGGAUCUCUUGGUUCUCGCAUCGAUGAAGAACGCAGCGAAAUGCGAUACGUAAUGUGAAUUGCAGAAUUCCGUGAAUCAUCGAAUCUUUGAACGCACAUUGCGCCCCUUGGUAUUCCAGGGGGCAUGCCUGUUUGAGCGUCAUUUCCUUCUCAAACAUUCUGUUUGGUAGUGAGUGAUACUCUUUGGAGUUAACUUGAAAUUGCUGGCCUUUUCAUUGGAUGUUUUUUUUCCAAAGAGAGGUUUCUCUGCGUGCUUGAGGUAUAAUGCAAGUACGGUCGUUUUAGGUUUUACCAACUGCGGCUAAUCUUUUUUUAUACUGAGCGUAUUGGAACGUUAUCGAUAAGAAGAGAGCGUCUAGGCGAACAAUGUUCUUAAAGUUUGACCUCAAAUCAGGUAGGAGUACCCGCUGAACUUAAGCAUAUCAAUAAGCGGAGGAA